GCGGACGGGUGAGUAAUGCUUGGGAAUCUGGCUUAUGGAGGGGGAUAACUACGGGAAACUGUAGCUAAUACCGCGUAGUAUCGGAAGAUGAAAGUGUGGGACCGCAAGGCCACAUGCCAUAAGAUGAGCCCAAGUGGGAUUAGGUAGUUGGUUGGGUAAAGGCUGACCAAGCCGACGAUCUCUAGCUGGUCUGAGAGGAUGACCAGCCACACUGGAACUGAGACACGGUCCAGACUCCUACGGGAGGCAGCAGUGGGGAAUAUUGCACAAUGGGGGGAACCCUGAUGCAGCCAUGCCGCGUGAAUGAAGAAGGCCUUCGGGUUGUAAAGUUCUUUCGGUGAUGAGGAAGGUGCUUGUUUUAAUAGAACAAGCAAUUGACGUUAGUCACAGAAGAAGCACCGGCUAACUCCGUGCCAGCAGCCGCGGUAAUACGGAGGGUGCGAGCGUUAAUCGGAAUAACUGGGCGUAAAGGGCACGCAGGCGGUGACUUAAGUGAGAUGUGAAAGCCCCGAGCUUAACUUGGGAAUUGCAUUUCAUACUGGGUCGCUAGAGUACUUUAGGGAGGGGUAGAAUUCCACGUGUAGCGGUGUAAUGCGUAAAGAUGUGGAGGAAUACCGAAGGCGAAGGCAGCCCCUUGGGAAUGUACUGACCCUCAUGUGCGAAAGCGUGGGGGAGC
rnacentral:rRNA from 1 species